AUAUUUCACAAUAUUUUGACACCAUUUGGAGAUAUCGUUCAUUAUUUAUCUAUUGUGGGUACAGUAUUUUACGUGAUCGAAAGCGAUCAUUAUAAGCUGUUCGCAAUCAUGUCGGUUUCCAGGCAUAAAAUCAGGAAUGACAGAAACAUUCUGUUUACAUCUAAACUAUGUUGUGAAGCUUUGGUAUCCACGUUGCUCCUGUAUGCAGUACCUUCAUUACUCAAGGAAGGAACAUUAUGCUACAUCAGUCAAAACACAGUGCUGUGGGGACCUCUACCUUAUAUUACAGACAAGAUGGGGGUUAUGAUUAAAGACACCGCUCAGAAACUUAGAAACACAGCUGACAGUAUGUUGUUUAAUUUAUUCAGAGAGAAAAGGACACUUGUUUUAGUUCAAAUUCAAUUCGAAUCAUUUGUUCUUGAACAGUCGGAUGUUCUCUCGGUACUUAAGUCUAAAUUGACAAGACACAUUUCAACUGGAGUUUGUAUGACAAGAUCUGUCAAAAGUACUGAAUUUUUGAAAUUGUUAGAACUGAAUGAAGAGCUUGUUUAUGACAAAAACAAAAACCUAGAACCGAAAAAGUACUUAGCUGAAAAAAGGAAUAAUUCGAAUCGUAAUGGCACUUUUUGGAUGAAUUUAGAAUCGCAAACUGAUUCCAGCCGGAUUACUUGCGAGGCACCAAGAAAAUACUAUCGGGUAGACGUCUUUAGAUGCAUGCCUGACAAUAAAAACGAAAUUGAAAUUCCUUCACCCAAAAAUGUACUUCAACAUAUUAUUACGGCGUACCCGUUUCAUUCAUACAAGCACGGUCUACCGGAAUUACCAGACGAAGAUGAGAAAUACCCUGUCCAAGCAACUGAAAUCGACGCAGGGCAGCUUUCUAUUGGCCCUUACAGACCAACGAUUGCAAACAGUAUGUUUCCUAACAAUAGCCAACGAUCCGAUCACCAACGUGAUAUUCAAGAAGCCAGAAGAAGUUUAAAUGCCGUUACAUCGGGAACUGGUCUUCAAAGAUGUACCAAACCAGCUCGAUAUCCGGAUUAUACCGCUUUGGACAAUAGAGUAUCAUCAUUCCAAACGCCUAAUUGGGACUCUAACAACAAACCUGAUACACUAAUGCUGGUAAACUGGGGUUUCUUUUAUACAGGUACUGGAGAUUUAGUAAGAUGUUACCAGUGUGGAAUAGGCUUAAAAGACUGGGUGAAAGAUGAUGAUGUGCUUCAGGAACAUAUUAAACAUUCUGCUACAUGUGACUACCUUCUAACGAAACUUGGCAGGGAAACCGUGGAUCAAAUCAAAAUAUCUCUUGAGAGUCCAGUAGGUUGUAGCUCCAACACGUCAAGUGCAAGUCAGUUGCCUUAUAAAAUGCGUUCUCCAAGAUACCAGACAAUGACUUCCAGGCUAGCAUCCUUUAAGGACUUUCCCAGGCACAUUCAAAUUUCACACCAGCAACUUGCUGUAGCCGGACUCUUUUAUACAGGAAAAGGUGACUUGUGUCGCUGUUUUACAUGUGACGGUGGUCUAAAAGACUGGAGUGCAGGAGACGAUCCAAUCAAAGAACAUGCCACGUACUUCCCAAAAUGUAUCUACAUCAAUCAGCUUAAAGGGCCUGAAUAUGUUAAAGUAUUACAGCGUACCCGCCAAACUGAACAAUCGACGGAAAUCUCGGGCGAGGCUGGUACAGAUUUACAGGGAGCUGCAAGUGGUCAUGUUUCAAAUUUACAGGGAGCGAGAGGUGGAAACGCGCCAGGUUUUCAGGGAGCUACCGGCGGAAACGGGUCAGGCUUCCAAGAGACACAGACGGUUGAGAUGCCAAUGCAGAAACUGACAAUACAAAGCAAUAAUUUUAGAUAUUACGUCUUGAGAAUGUUCUUUAAAUAAGGAACAUAUCAUGCAAAUUAAAACAUUUCCUCAUGACUCUAGCUUUACCACAUCAGCUGUUUUUCAAAACCUUGGCUAUGCUGAGAUAGAUGUGAUUACAGCGAGAACUGAAUUAGAGAGCAAAGGUAACAUGAAUCCGACAGCAGAAGAAAUAAUAAAUACAAU
rnacentral:misc_RNA from 1 species